rnacentral:rRNA from 2 species
UACAGAGGUGCCAAGCGUUGUUCGGAUUUAUUGGGCGUAAAGGGUGCGUAGGCGGUUGUGUAAGUCGGGUGUGAAAUUUCGGAGCCUAACUCCGAAACUGCAUUCGAAACUGCACAGCUCGAGGUCUGGAGAGGUGAUUGGAAUUCUAGGUGUAGCAGUGAAAUGCGUAGAUAUCUAGAGGAACACCAGAGGCGAAAGCGAAUCACUGGACAGAACCUGACGCUGAGGCACGAAAGCUAGGGGAGCAAACGGG